AGAGGCAGAGUCCCGCUCUGUCCCCCAGGCUGGAGUGCAAUGGCUCCAUUAUGGCUCACUGCAGCCUUGGACUCCUGGGCUCAAGUGAUCCUCCUGCCUCAGCCUCCUGAGCAACUAGGUUCACAGGUCCCUUUCCUGUGCCCUGAGCCUACGGCGGAUCUGCCGUCUGUCAGAUGCUGGACCCUCGUGUGCACAUCAUCACGUCCUCAGGCCUCUGCAGUGCCCAUCUCUCCAUCUCAUGGCCCAGGCCUCUGCGGUGCCUAUCUCCAUCUCGUGGCUCAGGCCUCCAUAGUGCCUGUCUCUCCAGCUCGUGGCCCUGGAUGCUGGUGGUGCCCACCUGGCAGUGUGCCCAGCUCAUGGGGAGCUUAGCAAACCCUUGCCAACAUGCAGUGGGUUCCCACUGGGUCCUGUGAUCAGAUGAGUAAAUGAGAGCCUGCAGAAGCCCUGCCACUCUUGCCUUUUCUUUUUGGGUCAAUGAGGUGGCAGCCCAUGUGUUGAUUCUGCAAGUGUAGACACAGCUCUUGAAUAAUCACAUGGAAUCGCUUUACCCAGAGAGGCCCAGACACCUGUGGGAGGCCAGCCCAGCUUCCCACCAGAGGCCACUCAGUGGUGUUCAUGUGCCCUCAGUUUGGGUGCCCUUCCAGCAUCUGGCCCACAGGAAGGGGAAUUCUAAGUGCACGCCAGUCACCCUGGUCUGCACUUACUGGUAUCGCUCUGAUUUGUUGCAUGGAGUGGGGAGGAGCCAAAGACAGCAUUGGAACGGAGGACGGGCCAAGCCUCCACCCUGGUGGCCUUUUUCCUGCAUGUGAGGCAGGCUCCCUCUCUGUUUUCCUCCUCCCCAGAAGCUCUCAAGGGCAGGACUCCUCUGCUCAGCUCACGGUAGCAGCUCUGAUGCUGGAACAGGGCCUGAGUGGAUGGAUGGAUGAUUCCCCAGUGGGGGUCUCUGAAGCCUACCCUGUUCCAUUGAGAGUAGGACCAGCCUAGAUGGACGAUGUUGGCUGUGGGAUGUACGGAGGGCAGAGGCCACCCCAAAGGGAGAGGGACCAGCCUAGAUGAGCUCACCCACGGCGGGAGGGUGGUGUCUGAUAGGGGUGGGUGGAAAUGGCCUGGCUUGGCAUCCAUGCAGCAAAACCCACAGCCCAGGAACCCCAGAGGGGAAGGGACAGGUGUCCAGUGUCCACUGGGAUGGCAGGAGUGGGGCUGGGGUGCCGGGCAGGGAGGUCCACAGAACUCCAUGUGGGGCUUCAUCCUCAGUCCCUGGGCCCCUUUGGUGCCCACCCCUGCUGGCCCCCUGACUGCAUGCAGCUCAGUGAGGAAGGCAGGGUGUGUGGUGCUAGAACAGGCCCCAGAUACCCAUAGAACACGCCUCAGAGAGGCUGUAGGCCUGCCCACAGCCACGCUGCCAGACAACUGGCCCUCCACCCUAAUCUUCUGACCCCACUAUGCCCUCCUGCCCACAUGGGCCCAUGUCUUGGAUUUCUUUAAUGGAGAAGAAAAUUCCCCUAAGAUACAAGAGCCUCAACAUUUUAAGGAUUUUCUGCAUCUCAAAAUCGUAGGCUCCUUGCUGGGCAAGGUGAGCCUCUGCAGGUCCUCAUAGGACCAAGCAAAUCUGAUUCACCCCAGAAAAUCCAAUAUCCAAGCUGAGCUUUGGCCUGGGUGGGCUCCAUUUCCUCCCUACAUCCUAUUUAGGAAGUGUCUCCUGACAGCCUCCAAAAGGUGCUAACAUGCAACGUUCUGAGGGGUUAUUGCUCAAAAACAAGAUUUUCCAUGUGGUCAAGACUCUGCGAGCCUCAAACACAACGAAUCCACCCGAGUGGGCUUGGGCUUUGCCUGGGUGCUGCACGCUCACACUUUGGAAGCCCAGCUUUGGUGACAUCCACACACGCACAGGCACACACGCCACAGAUGAUGCCGCCUCAUUCUCAGGAGGUGUUUGUCUAAGCUCUGCUUUAAAUAUUUACCCCCAGUUGUACAAAUGAUAGGGGCCUGAACCUGGUACUAGGUAAAUGGGGACUUCCUUAAAAGGACACCUGCUAUCUUUGACAUUUUCCAACAAAGCUUUUGCUGUUGAAGAGCGAUUGCACAUAGAAAUGCUUCUUCCUGGCGGUCACGGCAAGGUGAACUUUCAGGACACAGCCGCAGACAGGGAGACGGCCUCUGAGAAGUCCAAGCCGUCAGCCCUGGAGCUCGAGCAUUCAGCCAGAAAAACGGUCACUCAGGGCAGUGCUGACCUGUGCUGCAAGAAAAAGUAAAUUUUCCACCGUCA
ensembl:lncRNA